rnacentral:miRNA from 1 species
GCUUGGAACUGAGCAGGAACUG